AUAUUUUAGUUUGGGUAAAUAUUAAAUAAAAAGUAGUUAAAACACAAAAAAAACUAUUCUUAUUAGUUUAAUAUCUGAUACAUUCCCUAUCUGGGGAUCAUAUAUUAAAUUGAUUUUUGAAACAGGGAGGUGGAAUAGGAGUUUGCUCUGUCCGCUGCACACAUCGACCUGGUAUUACAGUCCCUCCAGGAAUGGUGCACUUUCU
rnacentral:snRNA from 1 species